CUCUGCAGGAGAGAAACCGAGGCAGCUCUAGAUCAGCGUUCUGCGGCUGUUUCUGGACCUGAUACCAGUUUGGACAGUGGCCGUGGCAAGCUGCAUCUCCCUGGCCGUGGAGGGGUCUGUGUUCUGUGACUGGCAGUGUCCCCCACUAAGAGCAGGCUCUGGCUUGAAGGCCCACUGAAACUUCUAGAACCCAGGCCCUCCCUUUCUCUGGAGGGUAAAUGUCCUAGGAGGACUUUCCUUGGUGGCAGAGAGUUUGCAUGGCAGCUGCCCCUCGGAGGCCUUUGCUCUGCCGUCUGGGCCUCUGCUGUGCUCGGAAGGACCUUGAGAUUCGCCGAGUCCACACUGAGGUGUCUCUCGCUGUCUUCCUAGUGUUGAUGUCAUCUGCUCCAUGGCUGCCUGUCCCCUGAUGGGAAGAGGGGGCAGCCCGCUCCCCCGAGAGUACCAGCUUACACUGAACACAGAGAAAGUGGUUGACGAGAGACAGAGCAUGAGCAGUGGGGAGAAGGCAGAGGGAGAAGGAGAAGGAAGCGGGGAGCCCGAUGUGAUGCGGGGCUCGAUCCUGGGACCGUGAGAUCAUGACCUGAGCUGAAGGCAGACGCUUAAAGGACUGAGCCACCCAGGUGCUGGUUCC
ensembl:lincRNA